AUUCAUUUGCCACCUGUUGAAUGAAGUAACAUUUUUUUACUGAGCUCACUGUGCAUUGAACCUUCGCGGUUGCUUCUUCUUCUUAUAUAAUUUGAAGUAGUCGCACAUGCUCGCCAAGCAAAAGUAAGAAAUACUCACCAAGUCACUAUAAACUCAAAACCAAUGGAUAAUACGCCGGCGAGGUUUAAGUGCAGCUACGGCGGCGAGAUCAGGCACCACGACGACGAACACCACCGCUACCCCUACUAUGCUGGCGGCAUCCACAGGAUGCUCCAAGUUCAAGGCGACAUAAAUUUUGCUGUUAUGACCGCCGAGCUCUCCUUACUCUGCGGCGGCGCUGCCGUAACCUCCUUUAAGUACCUUAUCCCCGGCGACGACCUCGACACCCUGGUCACCGUCUCGGAUGACAGGGACUUCUGUUACCUUAUGCGCGAAUACGAUCUGCACUACCGCGGUUCCGGUUCGCUCGACCCGAUGAGGAUCUUCCUCGACAUCGUCGAACAAGGCGGCGGCGCUGUUGCUCCUCAGGCACCUGCCCCGCUGAGUGCCUCCGACGAGGAUCGACGCGUGAACAUGGAGCUGGAGGGUCAAUUGGAGACGCAGUGGGGGCGCGUGGGAGGUCACGUUUCGUUUUCUUUUCCCGGGCCGUUGACUCCUGCAUCAGCCCUCAUACUCUUCGCUCUGAUUCUUCUUCUUUCGCUACCAAUCGCAUUCGUACUUCAAAAUUAUUUAGUUACGAAUGCUGAUGCAGAGUUCAGGGACUUUGAACAUCAUCGUGACGGGAUUAUUCACUUUGAGAAGCACAUGAAUCAAUUACCUGGAGCAUUGGAGGUUCCCGCUAAGGAUACCAUUGAAAUGGUGUUGCAUGAUAAAAAGGGUAGCAGAAUACAUGCUUCUCUCCCAAAGGCAUUGGUCAAGAAGUUUUGUCCUGUUGCUAACAUCAUACAAAACGGCAAUAUAGAUGACAAGGAACUCAUUGAUAUAUUUGUUGAGGUGGUUGGUAACAAGGGAAGACAAAUUGUCUUUACUUUUGAGGAUUUGGACAAAAAUAGGGUGACCUGUAUUUUGUUUGGAACACUAGUGGAUCAUAUUCUUCCCCACCUUGAUUCAAUUGGUCCUGGACCACUCAUUGUUGCUAAAAGUUUCUUAGACAAGGUGCAUGUUCAGAGCAGUUACUAUGCAUCAAAGCUCCAUGUGAACGUCUACAUAAAAGAAGUUGUGGAUUCCAAAAAUAGGUUGGGGAGUACUUGCCAGGUUACUUCGCAGUAUAUAAGUCAUCUCUCAUCUCAACCUAGCUAUUCUGUGAGUGAUGAGAUUAAUGGUGGAUUAGUAAGAUUGAAGUCAAUAGAGGAGCUUCUGAAUUGUCCAAAUGAGGGUUCUUAUUGGAUUCUGGCUAGUAUAGUGCGUUUGGAUGUUGGAAAAGAUGAUUGGUUUUACAAGGGAUGUACCCAAUACCCCCAUAAACUAGGAGGUGCUGAACCAUUUUAUUGCAAGAGAUGUGAUCAAGCGGAUUCCAAUCUUCUACGGUUUAGGCUUCAAGUUAUAGUGUCUGAUGGCACUGGAAGUAUAACAUUGGUUCUGUGGGAUAGGGAAGCCAUGCAAGUUGUUGGGAAGACAGCAACAGAGAUAAAAGAAAACUCAUUUGAUGAUGGUGAUGCAGACACUUAUCCUAAAGCUCUUGAUUCAGUGAUAGAUACAAAGCUUCUGAUUAAGGUUGCUGUGUCAUCAAGGAACAUUAACGGUUAUGAUGAUGUCUAUAAUGUUAUGAGGAUAUCCGAUGAUGAAGAAUUGAUUACAAAAUUGGGCCAUGAUGCUGCUGUAGCAUCACAAGAAUUGGAAAUGCAGGGUGUUGAUAAUAAUGUUAAGUUGUCAAUAAUUUAUCCACAAAGUGACUGGUAGCAAGAAAGGAUAGAGAAUAGAAGACACUAAUAUUAUUUCCAACUUCGGUAACAGACUAACAGUAUACAAGUUAAACCAAGUAGGUCUCAACAAAUGAUCAAAGACACUCUUUGCUACUAAUUAAUCCUAACUAACUCAUAUAUUCUUAAUCUUAACUACUAACCUUACUCUCACUAAUGGUAACUAAUUCAUAUAUACUAACGUGGUCCUAACAUACUGUUGGCAAUAAUGACACAAGUUGGAUCAAGGAUUCAGUUGAUGAUGAGUUUCAUACAACUUCUAGUUAGAAGACUCCAGCAAAGUGUGCAUCUUGAAUUGGGCCCUAAUAGUUAGCUGUCAAGAAACAAGGUGAAGAGACUGAAACUAAAUAAAGACAAGUAAUUCUAUGUUAUGAGUGAUUAGUGUUGUUAGUAUUACUCUUUGUUGUAGAAUAUUGGAGAUAUUAUUCGUAAUCUAGUUAUUUCACUCAUCAGUCGUACUGUGGUUAACUUCGCCUUUUGUUGUUGUAUGUGUCUUUUAAUUUGGUGAUUUGGUCCAAGCUAUCUUGGAAGACCAAUAUUGUAAUAAUGUCUAUUCAGGUUGUGUUAACUUUUGUAGUAUCUAUCGGUGUGAACGCUUUUAAUAAUCCUAUUGUUGAAGUUUAGAA